AAUUAUGAUGGAGAAAAAUCCGAUAACACACAGGUGGGUGGAAACCAAAGAAGAAAGGAAUGUGACUGGGGAAAGAACGGGAAAAAUCAUCUUUUCUCUGGGAGUCUCUUCAAAGUCACAGAAUGGGCAGGACAUGCCCAAGAGCCACUCCAGAGUCAGUGGAAAAACUUCAAUCAAGUUGAUCGCCAGAUAUCCUCCAAGUUGGUCACCAGAAAUCGUCCGGGCUGGUCACAAGAUCUCCUGCUGCCGAAUUUUCAAUAAGUCAAUUCUAUCAAUUAUUCGUACAAUAUAAUUCAGCUGUGUCAUAGUCAACAAGAAAGUGCGCUGUAAAUACAGUGAUUGCUUUUUCAACAAUUUCUUCCACUGCCGUAUCAUCUGAUAGAACUAGCGAUCACCGCUCACUCAACAAGUGCCCACGAAGUGAAUCUUCAACAAGGACUAAAGACUGUAUAUUGGGAAUAGAGACAAUAGUGUACUACUCAAGACUUUAUUCACCUAGUACACAGGACGACUAUAUAUAUAUAUAUUAAUUCUUCUUUUCCAUAGUGUUUCAAGGUAUUUAUUCCAUAUGAUGUAUAAUCUCUUCUUCUCAUUAAAGAUCCAAGGUUUACAUAAACUGUAGUUAUCUGUCUCUGUCUGUGUUGAGUACAUCUCACUUUGCUGUACUUACCUGUGCGAUAACCG
rnacentral:lncRNA from 1 species